rnacentral:rRNA from 1 species
UACGUAGGGUGCAAGCGUUGUCCGGAAUUAUUGGGCGUAAAGAGCUCGUAGGCGGUUUGUCGCGUCUGCUGUGAAAACUCGGGGCUCAACCCCGGGCCUGCAGUGGGUACGGGCAGACUAGAGUGCGGUAGGGGAGACUGGAAUUCCUGGUGUAGCGGUGAAAUGCGCAGAUAUCAGGAGGAACACCGGUGGCGAAGGCGGGUCUCUGGACAGUUACUGACGCUGAGGCACGAAGGCCAGGGGAGCAAACGGG